AGUGACAGAGUGAGGGAGGGUGUGACUAGUGACAGUUAGGCAGGGAAGGGGUGACUAGUGAUAGAGGGAGUGGUGACUAGGGACAGAGUGAGGGAGGUGGUGACUAGUGACAGUCACCACCUCCCUCACUCUGUCACUAGUCACCACCUCCCUCCGUCACUGUGUCACCCCCUCCCUCACUGUCACCAGUCAUCCCCUUACUCUGUCACUAGUCACCCCUCCCUCACUCUGCCACUAGUCACCCCUUCCCUCACUCCCUCACUCUGUCACCUGUCACCCCCUCACUCUGUCACUAGUCACCCCCUCACUCUAGUGACAGAGAGAGGG